rnacentral:rRNA from 1 species
AGAGUUUGAUCAUGGCUCAGAUUGAACGCUGGCGGCAGGCCUAACACAUGCAAGUCGAGCGGUAGCACAGAGAGCUUGCUCUCGGGUGACGAGCGGCGGACGGGUGAGUAAUGUCUGGGAAACUGCCUGAUGGAGGGGGAUAACUACUGGAAACGGUAGCUAAUACCGCAUAAUGUCGCAAGACCAAAGUGGGGGACCUUCGGGCCUCAUGCCAUCAGAUGUGCCAAGAUGGGAUUAGCUAGUAGGUGGGGUAAUGGCUCACCUAGGCGACGAUCCCUAGCUGGUCUGAGAGGAUGACCAGCCACACUGGAACUGAGACACGGUCCAGACUCCUACGGGAGGCAGCAGUGGGGAAUAUUGCACAAUGGGCGCAAGCCUGAUGCAGCCAUGCCGCGUGUGUGAAGAAGGCCUUCGGGUUGUAAAGCACUUUCAGCGGGGAGGAAGGCGAUAAGGUUAAUAACCUUGUCGAUUGACGUUACCCGCAGAAGAAGCACCGGCUAACUCCGUGCCAGCAGCCGCGGUAAUACGGAGGGUGCAAGCGUUAAUCGGAAUUACUGGGCGUAAAGCGCACGCAGGCGGUCUGUCAAGUCGGAUGUGAAAUCCCCGGGCUCAACCUGGGAACUGCAUUCGAAACUGGCAGGCUAGAGUCUUGUAGAGGGGGGUAGAAUUCCAGGUGUAGCGGUGAAAUGCGUAGAGAUCUGGAGGAAUACCGGUGGCGAAGGCGGCCCCCUGGACAAAGACUGACGCUCAGGUGCGAAAGCGUGGGGAGCAAACAGGAUUAGAUACCCUGGUAGUCCACGCCGUAAACGAUGUCGAUUUGGAGGUUGUGCCCUUGAGGCGUGGCUUCCGGAGCUAACGCGUUAAAUCGACCGCCUGGGGAGUACGGCCGCAAGGUUAAAACUCAAAUGAAUUGACGGGGGCCCGCACAAGCGGUGGAGCAUGUGGUUUAAUUCGAUGCAACGCGAAGAACCUUACCUGGUCUUGACAUCCACAGAACUUAGCAGAGAUGCUUUGGUGCCUUCGGGAACUGUGAGACAGGUGCUGCAUGGCUGUCGUCAGCUCGUGUUGUGAAAUGUUGGGUUAAGUCCCGCAACGAGCGCAACCCUUAUCCUUUGUUGCCAGCGGUUCGGCCGGGAACUCAAAGGAGACUGCCAGUGAUAAACUGGAGGAAGGUGGGGAUGACGUCAAGUCAUCAUGGCCCUUACGACCAGGGCUACACACGUGCUACAAUGGCAUAUACAAAGAGAAGCGACCUCGCGAGAGCAAGCGGACCUCAUAAAGUAUGUCGUAGUCCGGAUUGGAGUCUGCAACUCGACUCCAUGAAGUCGGAAUCGCUAGUAAUCGUAGAUCAGAAUGCUACGGUGAAUACGUUCCCGGGCCUUGUACACACCGCCCGUCACACCAUGGGAGUGGGUUGCAAAAGAAGUAGGUAGCUUAACCUUCGGGAGGGCGCUUACCACUUUGUGAUUCAUGACUGGGGUGAAGUCGUAACAAGGUAACCGUAGGGGAACCUGCGGUUGGAUCACCU